rnacentral:lncRNA from 1 species
UUUUCACUAGAACAUGGAAGUUUUAUUAGAACUGAAACCAGAAAUUACACACGCCGGCAAAGUUCGAGAUGACACUUUCCGGAUACAAAGCCGGCAAAGCUCAAGAAGACACUUUCUGGACACAAAGCCGGCAAAGCUCGAGAUGACACUUUUCGGACACAAAGCCGGCAAGAUACGAAACCUUCCGGAACCAAAGCCCCACACACAGGAAAACAUUAGACCCAAAAAGGGCACGGUCAUAGACCCACAAAGGGCACAACGAUAAAAGAUAAAAACUAAUUAUACAAUCUGAACAAAGGAGCUAAACAAACAAAUCCACAAAUUGUUUCAGAUUUCUUCUUUUUGCCAAUUGAAUCCGAGAUCGGAAGCUAUCUUCUAGUCUUCUUUCUUCACCUGAAGCUAUCUUCUGGUCUUCUUUCCUCACCUGAUAAUAUAAAGACUUCAAAAUUUAAAAUUUUGAGCAUCCUUAAGUCGGCAAAACGGUGAAACCUCACUAGAGGCUUGACAACACCGUAUAUGGAAGCCUGGGCCGGAAUAAUCGAGCAAAGCGACAUAGAUCCAGUAAGAGGAGCCAAGAACUGAUCAGAUCUCGUCCAGAUCUGAGAGUUAGUUCGAGUGGAGGAGACUUAAAAUUAGGCCGCCCAAAACCGAUUCACCACCCACUGCAAGAACCAAGGAUGGCUACGGGUCGACACGGUUAGAGCCAUGGAAACUUUUGACGCUUGGGAGAAGAAGAGACAAUAGUAAAAACGAAAGCUCUCUAAAUUCAGAUCUAAAACUAAAACAAACUGAAGCCGGACAAAACGAAAAUAAGCUGGAGACAAAAGCAAGACAAAAAGCCGAUUCCGACGCUGUGAAAGCCGCCCAAAGCCGGAGAUCUUAACGAAGAAAGCUUAGAGAGAAGGCACAUAAAAUUUUAAAAAAAGAGAAAGUAAAUUGAUUAGUUUGUUUGGUUUAGCUUAAUUGAAUUGAACAUACAUUAUGUAUCAAAUAAUUAAUAGGAAUAUUUUUGUUUAUUCAAAAAUAAUUGGAAUUUAUAUGAACUAAGCCUUUAAAUAUCUAAAAAUUAUUGAAUAAAAUAGAAAAUUUAUGUUUUAGAUUAAGGUGUUCAAUCCGGUUUUGUUUUUGAUUAUUCGAUCUCUCGAUUUUUCGGUCUAUAAGUAAAGGUAUCCAAAAAUACAUGGUUGAAUUUUUAUAUAAUAUUUUGCAAUGAUAUUUAUAUGAAUGUGAUUUACUUCGAUACAAGUUUUCUCUCUCGACAUGUGUUCGUCUAGAAUUUUUUUAUUGCAUUCAUUUUUACGUUUAAAUAAUAACUUAUUUGGUAGUAUAUUUUAAUUUAUUCUAACGGAUGAGAUGCUAAGACUAUCCGCAACGCAGGUUUCUUACAACAUUUUUAAGAUUAAAAUAUUAAAAAGAAAUAGAAAAAGAAGAGAGAACAAGAGAUGUACUUGAUUUAAGGUAUUUAGAGCACCUCCAACGGAGGUUUUUCAAAGGAUGUCUAAAGAAUUUAAAAAAAAAAAAAAAAAAGUAAAAGAGAGAAUGAGAAACAUUUCUCAUUUGAGAAACUGUGUCUAACAUCUAACAUCAUUUGAUUGGUUAAAAAAAAUUUUAAUUAAUAAAAAUUUAAAUAAAUAAUUUAUUUAUUACAAAAGCAUUAAAUUAUUAUAUUUGAGAAACUUCUAUAGUUUCUCACCGUUGGAGAUGUUCUAAAGCUAUUAUACUAAAAAUUUCUCUUCUUUCCUUUUUCUGUCUUUUAGUGGCCUGUUUGUUUUAGGGCUGGGCAUUCGGGUACGCGGGUCGGGUUCGGGUAAAACUCGAUCGGGUACGGAUCCUUCGGGUAGAGGAGUUUAGGACCCAAUAGGGUAAAUCUAAAAUAUCGGUUCGGUUUCGGUUCGGAUCCAAUCGGGUUCGGGUCGGUUCGGGUUUAGAAUUUCAGAACCGCUAAAUACCCGAAAAGUUUGGAUACCCAUCGGGUUCGGGUAUAUUAUACCCGAUUAUACCCAAAUAACCGAAAUUUUACUCUAAUACCAGAAAUUUUACACAAAUACCCGAAAUUUUUACCCGAAUAUCCGACUUUUAAUCGAAAUUUUAUCCGAAUAAUCGGAAUUUUGUCCAAAAAUCUGAAAAACUUACAAAUAUCUCGUGUAUAAAUAUAUUUAGUCUUAUGUAUUUAAAUAUAAGUGCAUUUAGUUUUUGGUAAUUACUCUAGCAUAUUUGGAUAUAAACUUAUUUAACUCGAAUAUUAGAUAUAUAUAAAAUUUUAUAUGUAUAAGUAUAUGUAAUUUCGGGUAAUCGGGUACCCGUUCGGGUAUCGGGUUCGGAUCGGAUUUUACCCUAUACCCACGGGUACGAUGAUACAAGACCCAAUAGAGUAAAUAGCUAAUAUCCGUACCCGCCCCGAACCGAUUUUUUCGGAUCGGUUUCGGUUUGGGUUUUCGGGUCCGGGUUUUUUGCCCAGAUCUAGUUUUUUUUAAUAUUAAAAUACUAAUAUUAAAUUAUAAGAAACUCAAAAAUCGAUAAUACAGACAAGAAGGAAUACCUCCUCAGAUGUUCAAAAACGUAAUUGCUGCGAGCUACGCAGAAUUCUCUUCUAUGAGACAGAAGGUGAAAACCAUGUCUUUUUUGAAUGUUUAGAGUUUUAUUUAUUUUCUAACUUGUAUUUGAACGAUACUCCUUUUAGGCAUCAAUUGGAAUCAGAUAUGUUUCAAGAUUAGGGUGAUUUCAUGAUAUAUUAAUUUUCAACCAAUUUCCCUUACGAUGAUUUACAGACUUUGAAUGGAAUUAGAAGAUCCUUUUGUGUGGCCUUGUCCUUGAUGGCUUUUUGUUGCUUGUCUACUAUAUAGUGUUUAAAUUCUUCUCUUCAAGUUAUUAAGGGUUUUCUGCAAAACAACACUCUAAGUCAAUUUUGUUUGCAAAUUUACCCUCCAAAUCCGAAUUUUGCAAGUCAACUCCACAAUCUCAAAAGUCACCCGCAAUACUGCCCUCCCGUGUAGCGAUGACGUGGCACUCGAUAAUUCCGUUUGAAAACAUAAGGAGUUUUUGUUAAAAAAACUCUCCAUGUAAUUUUUUUUGCAAGACAAACCUCCAUUUCAAAUAAGUGCAGGUCAAACCACAAUCUCAAAAGUUACCUGCAAUAUAGCCCUUUCGUAUAUCGAUGACGUGGAAAUCGAUAACUCAUUUUAUGUAAUGUAGAACUAUCAUGCAUCUCGAGGUUCAACUAGGUUAAUUCCUCCUUAGCUAAGGAACGUUCCUUAGCUUAUUAAGGUAUUAACUAUUUAAUUUAAAUCACUUUAAUACCUAAGAGGUGCCACGUGUCACGUUUUGAUUGGGUGGAUUUCACAUAUUUUACAGAUACGCCUUCUAAUUUCUUCGAUAAUAGAGCUCGAGUUCGUGAUCGAGGUAUGCAUCAACAAUUGAAGAAUGUUUUGGUCGAGCAUAUAUGGACAAAAUAUAGAAGAAAUUAAGUUUAAAAUAUUUGUGAUUUAUGUUAUAAAUUGUAUCUCAUGUAUGUUUUAAUUUUUUUAAUUUGCAACAAUUAUUAAAUUUUCUAUAAUUAUAAAUUUUAUUUUUAUAUUAAUAUUUUUUUUUCUAAGAACCACAUAUUAAAAAUCUACCAUUAAUCACACAAAAAUCUUAACUCAAAAAUACUAUCUCUUAACAAUCACUUUUACAAAUAAAUUAUUUAAAUAUUACUAAGAUUUAUCUCUAAGAAACUAAUUAUAAUGAUGCUCUAAUAAAUCUUAAGACAAAGACUUAAUCGUACAAAAAUUAAUAAGUUAAUUUUCCUCGUGGAUAGACAAAAGUAACACUGGUCAACAUUUUCCACUAACUUUUUAAACACUUUAUACUUAUCCUAUCAUUGCAUACAUAUUGCAUUGCGAGAGAAUUCACAUGCUAUGUGAUGAUGAUAGCUUAGCAUCUACAUAUCUUGAUAUAUUAUUACUUAUAUGCCUCGGGAUCUGAUUCUCCUAACUCAAAACUACUUUGAUAUACUCCCUCCGUUUCAGUUUAGUUAUCGUUUUAGGAUUUAAAUUUUGUUUCAUAAUAAUUGUCGUUUUAGGUUUUCAAUGCAAAUGUUUGGUGAAAAUUCCAGUUUUAUCCCUACUGUUUUAAUGUUUUGGCCAAUGAUUUUUUUUAUAAAAUAUAUUAAUAAAGGGUAAAAUAGAAAAUUAAAUGCUUUUCUUAAUUUGUGUGAAAAAACCUUAAACGACAACUAAAACGAAACGGAGAGAGUAUUAUAUAGUGGUGGUCCAAACAAAAUUUUGAUCUUGUGAUGAUCAUAUUUUGAAUAAAAGUGUGAUUUAUUAGUCUUUUUUUUAUGUUUCCUUGAUGAAUGAAACUCAAUGUGCAAGAGUGCUUUCUCGUAAGUGGAUAGCCACGAGAAAGUUACACUCGCAAUUAAAAACAUUUGUAGUGAUAGUUAUAUGUUUUCCAUUACUUUUGGUUAAAUUUACCAUUUUCAAACACGUAUAUAAGAGUUCAAAAAUAAAAUAGUAAGUAGAUGAAGUUUCAGACUUAAUUUAUGUAGAAAUUUGGAUAGUAAUUAUCAAUUGGUUUUUACCGAAAAGUAAAACAACGAUUAACUAGUUUUUCACUUGAGAUCAGUGAUUUCAACUUUUUAUCUCUCUCUUUAUUAACAUCUUUACAUUUUAUUUUGGGUAGGAUAUUAACAUCUUUACAUUAGUAAUUGGGUUUAAUAACUUAAAAUUCCACUUGUAAAUUGAUAGAAUUUAUUCGGUGUUAAAAUGUAAAUUCAACCAAGAGACCAAGAAAAUUCUAUUCAGAGUUGAAAUUCAUAUUAAUUACGGAUUUAAAACUUAUGAAUACUCCAUCUUGUUACUACUUGACUCAUGUUGUAUCUGGCAGUAUUAAAUUUUAAAGAAAAAAAAGUAGAUAAAUAUAAAAUUUUCUUUUAGCAUAUGUAAAACCAAAAACGGACACUAUUUAAUUUGAGAACGUAAAUAACACCAAAUUAUCUAAUUUUUAACUAUGUGUAAAUUUUAUUAUAAGAUUGUAAUAUAGAAUUAAAAUUUUAAACUUAAAUUUUAUUUGACCCCUAUUUUGAAAUAUGAUAAUAUUUGAAUCUAUAAAACAAAUUAAAGAUCUACCACGUGUACAAAACUAAAAAUCAUAUUAAGCGUUUGUGGUGGUUACUAAAAAGUAAAAACUAAGUAAUGUAAAAUAAAAUUUAAUAAACGGAACUACGUAUUCCUCUUAUGUCAUUUUGUUAUUGGGAAAAUGUUAUCAAAAUCCCCAACUUGUUAUUGAAAACAUGAUUUAAAUUUUCAACUCCCAACCAAACGAAAUAAAUAUCAAACUUAUGUUGACCUUCCAACUAAACAAUAAAUUUUUAUUGAUCUGGUAAUAUUAGACAUAAUGUUAAGUUAGUUAACAGAUCCCUUUAACGAAGUUAAUAUUCUGUUGAUAGACCCAUUAAUUGAAAACGAUAAUGUUUCCUCUAACGACUAAACGACGCCGUUUAAUCGUAACGGCUCAAUUAAAGACGAUUAUUUUUUAGUAAUACACGAUUUUCGAAUUACUAAAAAAAAUGAUUAUUUUUUAGUAAUACACGAUUCUUAUUAAGAUUGCAUGUGAAUUCUUUUUAAAAAAAAUUCUAUUUAGAUUAAUUUUUACAUAACAAUGUUUUUUCUUAAAAAAACACUACGUAACAAUGUUUUUUCUUAAAAAUUCACUAUGUUUUUUGAAAUAUCAUGUCUUUUAGUCAAAUAUAACAUACGAAAUUUAAAUGGUACAUGCUAUUUUGAAAAAUCUCACGAAACUGUCUCGCAUAUCGUUGAUCUCGCAACAAACAAAGGAUAGUUUUGGUAUUUCACAUCAUUCGACAACGUGGAUCCAUGGCUAUUUUGCAACAAAAACUUUUUCUCUGCUAUUUUCAUAAUUUGAGUGUUUUAUUCGGCUAUUCUCUAAUAUUACCCAUAAAUUUAUACGUUUAUAGGUCACUUUCCUUUUUAACAAUGGUCCCUCUUUAGCCUCACGGUUAAUAGACUCUCCGAGAAAAGUCAUUAAAAAGUUGCCAGCUUCUUCAUUCCACUUUCUCUCCACCACUUUCACCUGAAUCCCACGUCACUCUCUCUCUAAAACUCCAUAAAGCUCAAACCUUUUGUCAUUCUCUCUCUCGAAAACUCACAAUCUUUUUCACACUCUUCUUCAUGUUCAAGCAAUGGGAAAUCUCUGUUCUUUGUUUACUCCGCCAAAACCCGUGAAAAAACGAAAACCCAUCACAAAAAGACAAUCUUCCAUUGGAGUUUCUUCUUCCGGGUCGGGUCUUAAUAGUAACCGUUGGAACAACCGGGUCAGAUCAUCUUCUUCUAGAAGAGACAACAAGUUUGAAGAUGCUGUGAUUCAAGAACAUGCUCUUGCUGCUGCUGCUGUUUUGUUCCGACAGCAAAACGGCGGUGGAUCGUUGCCGUUUGAUCGGUCGGCUUCGCAACGUUAUCAAGGUUCUUGUUCGAAGAAGAAUCAGUUGCCUCGAAGCUCAAGUUCGAGGUCAAGGUCUUCUACGGAUCCUCUGUUACAACCUCAUCAGUUUCUUAAUCAGGUUCUUUUCUUCUUCUUGAUUCUUACAUUGCUUUGACUUCAAUAAUGAUGUGUAUUGAUUAGUUUUCUUUCUUGGCAUUAAAUGAAGAAUCUUGAAUUCUUGGUUGCUCAACUUAUUUUAGUGGUUACAAAGCUAUGUGAGUCUUUUAUAGUAUAGUUUCUUUAAUUCUUGUUGGCUCAACUGAUUUUAGAUGUUGAGUCUUGAAACUUCCUGACUUUAUUUUUGUUUCAUUGAUUAUUGUCAAUGGUGUGAAUGUGGUGACAAUGAGAUUAUAUUGUUACAUAGAGGUAGACGAUUUCGAUGUCGAGGUUGAGAGUAUUAUCUUAAUCAAAAUUCAAGCUUGAAACACUAUCUUCAUGUGUUGUUGUUUUUCUUGUGGGGCGAAUCGAAUCGAUCAUUUUGUGGGCUAGAAUGUCUUAAUGUGGGAAAUAUAGUCAAAAUUACUGUCGAACGCUCUAAUGUGUGUUCGAUUUGCGGGCCUAUCUUUCGUGUAGAGCUGUCCAUGUAUAGUGUUUUUGACAAUUUGUUCACCUUAAUCUUGUAUAGAUGGUUCAAUUUGUGUUUCCCCUGACAGCCAAACAAAUAAACCUCACCGUCCUGCAAAUAGGAAAUGUUUCAUUCUUUAUGUGGAAGUUAAAUUCUUUUUAUUGGUCUUGGAAUAGGGUGUGAAGGUAGAUGACUUGGAGACAAACCAUUUUGUUCUCAUCCAUGGAGGGGGUUUUGGUGCUUGGUGUUGGUAUAAAACCAUUGCACUUCUUGAGGAAGAUGGUUUUAAAGUUACUGCUAUAGACUUAGCUGGUUGCGGUAUUAACUCGAUUAAUAUAAAUGGCAUUGCUAGUUUGUCUCAGUAUGUGAAGCCACUUACCGAUAUUCUUGAAAAGCUUCCCAUAGGAGAGAAGGUUCUGUUUCUAUUUGCCUUCGACUUCUACUCUUUUCCCUCUACUUUCCGAAAACUGGAACUCUUUCCUUGUGUGUAAAAUUGCAGGUGAUCUUGGUUGGUCAUGAUUUUGGUGGAGCUUGUAUAUCUUAUGCUAUGGAAAUGUUUCCUUCAAAGAUUUCGAAAGCGGUUUUUCUCGCUGCAGCGAUGUUGACUAAUGGUCAAAGUACACUCGAUAUGUUCUCCUUGAAGGUUUUCUUUCUCACUUAUCUUUUCCCAUGUUUCAAGCUUUGUGCCGCGCCAGAGACUAAUUCUGUUUACGACACACUUUGCAGGCCGGUCAGAACGAUUUAAUGAGAAAAGCUCAGAUAUUUAUCUACACAAAUGGUAAUGAAAACCCUCCAACCGCCAUUGACUUAGAUAAAUCUCUUCUCAGAGACCUUUUGUUCAAUCAAAGCCCUUCAAAGGACAUUGCAUUGGCCUCUGUUUCAAUGAGGUCAAUCCCAUUUGCGCCGGUUCUUGAGAAACUCUCUCUCUCAGAUGCUAACUACGGAUCAGUUAGACGGUACUACAUAGAGACGCUAGAAGACAAUGCUAUUCCAAUGACUGUCCAAGAAAACAUGAUUAAUAGUAGUCCACCUGAAAAAGUUUACCGGUUAAAAGGCGCUGAUCAUGCUCCUUUCUUUUCUAAGCCACAAGCUUUGCAUAAACUUCUGCUCGAGAUUGCCAGAAUCAGCUCUACUUAACCCUAAGUAGCUUCACCAUUAUUCACUAACUGGUGUUCUAAAGUGGCUUCAUGAGAUCUCUCUUCCUUUUUAGUUUUUUUUUUUGUUUCAUUUUGUGAUUUUGUUUCUGUAUCUUUUGUUGGUUUUUAUCAUGAUUAUUUUCUGUCUUUCUUCUUCUUGUUCUGUUUUUACCAGAAAUAAAAUGUUUAUAGAAAAAUCAAUAUACUUGCUAUGGGACAUGAAAUUAAAAUUUGUUUUAUUGUAACCAGAUGAUCAUCAAGAUCCUGAAGAAUGGAUCUUCCAAUUCAUCAAGAAAGUUUCACUGAUUUGCUUUCUUUAUUCAGUUGCUCUUAUCGACAUAACUCCUUGUGUAUGUGUGUGAAGGUGUUUAGGAUAAAAUUUUGGCUUGCAUAUGCAAAAGGAUAAUAAGAAAAAAUUUCAACAAAUUAAACAUUACUUUCACACUUUACAUUUUUGAAAGUCAAUGCAAAUUGCAACUCCAAUCCAAAGUGAAAGCAAUGGGCCUAAGAUAUAUCACAACCAAAGUGAUAAUAUAUGUAGAGGCCACUAUAUAUGUUAAUUUGUAUAUCUUUCUUUAUUCAUGAAAACAAUACAAAAGGAAUCAUUUCUAAAUGAGGUAAACUUAUUUUAAAAAGCUAAACGUAAAAUAAAACGAUAUGCUAAUGCUACCUAAUAUAUCAUUGAGCUUCAAAAAAAUCAAAAACCAAAAUUUUUUUAGAGUAACUGCAAUCAUAUUUCUUGACUAUAAGAAAAAAAAUGGUGAAAUCAAAGAAAUAAUAAACAUAAUAAAUUGAUCUCAUGAGUUUUAGUGUUUGGAGGUUUAAUGACUCGAUCCAGAACCAUGAGCUUAAAAGUAACGGAUUCAAAUUGUUAGUAAAGAGCUUGCCAAACUAAACGGAGCUUGAUGAUAACAAAUAGAAGCUGUGAAACUUGAAGAUCUCUUAUCAUAUCAAUUAAAGAAACUUUUUUUCUAUGUAUCUCAUCAAUUUGCACCACCGAACCCAAAAAUUGCAGCUAUACAAGAAGCUUUCUAAAGGUCCAAAGACUUGUUUUGAGCUAGAUUAUUCAAGGCAAAACCAAUACUUUCCAUUUUAAAAACACAACUGAAUUCAUUUUCUCUUGGUUUAGUCCCACUAAAGAAACCGAAUUUAAGUUGAGCUAAAGACCUCGACAAUACUCAUGGGUGUGUAUAGCCACUCACCAGAUUUGAUAAUAGACCUAAAGGCCAAAGUGUAGCACCAUUUCAACAUACAAAUGUUAAUAAAAGAGAUCUAAUGAAAAUCAAACAUAAGGGUAAGGGAAUUGAUACCAUACUUUCAAGUCUUUUACCACUAGACUAGCUACUACUACCAAUUAGUUAACAAGAAAAUCUAGACUUUGUAACUCAUCAAAGUAAAAAACGAAAUCAUUAAAAGAUAGAAUGGUCGCAGGUUAUACAAACAAAUUGAAAAAGAAAACUUCAUAGUUUUGUUUUUACUAAUUCAUAACUAAGAAAAUAGGAUCCAAUUUUUACAAGGGUAUCAAAACAUACUCACCGCUACUAUAUAAUAUUUGAAGUCAAUUCCCAACUGCAAUUAUUAGACCAACAAGACAAUAAUUCAUAAAUCUAAUAAACAAUGUUGCAUAAAGAUAUAUGAUGAGAGGGUUAUUGUUAUGUUCUUCCUCUCAAUACACAUCUCCAAAGUCUUACCUUUAGACAUGGCCAAAUCAUUUUUCUCUGUCUCCUUCUUCUUCACCGUCUCUCUUCUCUUUCUCCUCACGGCGGCUUCAGCAACCGCAUUUGCAGAGAACGUUACUAGUGAGUUGAGAUAUGAUGGAUGUUCUCCUGGAGACACCGUUGGAGAAUGCAUAACCGCGGCGGUUGAGGAUGAUGAUGAAGGAGUUGAGGCGUUGGUGCGGCGGAUUCUUCAACAAAAAAGGUAUUUAAGCUACAAAACUUUGCAGAAGCAGCCGACUUGUGAUGGAAGAAUUGCCGGUAAUUGCAUAGGAACUGUUAAUCCAAAAGGUUCAACUUGUACUUACUACCAAAGAUGCAAACGUGCCGCCUAGUUGUUUCUUUGUUUUUACAAUUGUAUUUUUUCUAUGUAAACUGUUUCUUCUUAAUAAUGUGUGUUUUAUUUAUAUGUAAAGGAAUUUUUUUAUUAAAAUGUAAAAGAAAUUAAAGCAACAAUAAGAAAGUUGGUCGGUUGGAAAAAAAGUGUUGAUCAAGUUCAAUGCAUAGAACGUUUCUAUAUAUAUAUGUGUAUAAGAACUUUUCAAUCUAUUUAAGAGUUUAAAACAUGUUAUGCAAAUGCAACCGGAUAUCCAUUAAUUGCGAGAUUGACAAUAGCUAUUAAAAUACAAAUUCGUACAUAACUAAAAAGAAAACUUUGCAAAUGAAAAUUAAAAAUACAUAUACAUGAAACAAAAAACAAUAAAAUUAAAGGAAAUGAGAUUACUUAUAUAUGCAUAUAAACAAGGCCUAAUAUGGAUAAAUAUUCGAACCUACAGUACUAUUACUUUGUUUACUUGAGAUCAUUUUAUGCGUCUAUUGUUUUGCAAAAUUGUUUUGACGCAUAUAUAAUAUAUAUAUAUAUAUAUAUAUAUAUAUAUAUAUAUAUAUAUACAAUUAAUUGAGAAUCAUUAGAUAUUAAAUAACCUUAUGAAGGGUAAAAUAUUACAUAAGAUGCCAUUGUUUUUUAGUGUUUUUAAAUAAAUUCAUUAAGGCUACAAUAGUAAUCACAAAAUUAAUAUAUUUAAAUUAAAAUAGUAAAAUUCUUUUAAGUAAUUAUUAGUUUCCAAAGAAUUAUAUUCACAUUCUCUCUCUUAUUAAUUAUAGACGAAAAUUUGUAAUUAAUUUCUAAAAAAUUGUUAACCAAUGAGAAUCGAAAAAGUAAGAUUUGAUAUCCAACUAAGAUUUUAUCUAAACCAAUACCAUUACACUAUUCUAUAUAUAAAAAAAGUAAUAUUAUUUUAGUUCAAAAUUAAAAACACUAUCGUUUAAAACAUUUUAUCAAUGAAAGAUUUUAAGUUUGAAUUUUAAAUUUCGUAAAAAACUCAAAUACAAAUAUUUUCACAAAUUUUCACAAAUUUUGAAAUAUAAAACGAAAUUUUAUUCACAAUUUGUAAAAAACGAUAUUAGAUAUUAACAAAUAUUUAUAUUAACUAUGAAAUAAACUCAAAUAAUAAUAAAUUUAAAGUAAUUAUCAUUAUGAUCUUCGUUUAGAGCAAGUUUCGGAAAUAUCUAAUAGGGAAAUUGUUAAAAAUACCUCUUUUGGUGUGCCCUUUUUAGAUGUCCAUUUUCAAAAAUGCCCCUUUUAAAAUCUGAAAUUUUUAUAAAGUUUUAUUAGGUUUAUAAGGUACUUAUAGAUUGUAACUACUACUUGAAGACUCGAUCCAAGUAUUUAUAUGGUUUUAUAAGGUGUUUUUAAAGGUUUUACAAGUUAUUUUAAAGAAUUUUUAAAGUUUUUCAAAGGUUUUACAAGAUAUUUUAAAGGUUUUUAAAGGUAUUUAAAAUGCAUUUAUAAGGUAUUUAUAAAGUAUUUAUAAGAUUUUAGAUACAUAGAAAUGUAGUUUGUGUAUGUUUUAAUAAUAUUACAUACAUAUUUGGGUAAAUCUUAUAUUUUUAAGAACAUUUUUUAUAAGGUUUUUAAAAAGGAGUAUUUUUGAAAAGUGGCAUUGAAAAAGUGGCAUUUUUGCAAAAGCCCCUAUAUAAAUUGUACAUAUUAAUUUUGAAACAUUUUGUGUUUUAUUUUUUACUUUCCAACCGAAUCUUCCUUGAAUAAAUCCAUAAUAUACUGCACACAAUUUUCGAAAUAAUGUAAACUAAUUAUAUAUUUUGUAUUUAUGCAGCAAUAGCAUAUUCCUUUUAUAGAUGUAUCUCAAAUUUUAAUUUUUAGUCCAAAAAUUGAAUUAAUGAUGAUUAAACAAUGAAAAGAAGAAUAUGCAAAAUUUAGCUAAGGAAAGAAACAUUAAUAAAUUUGUUAAAAUAUACAUUAAUAAACAUUAACAGCAUACAUAUUAAUCCGCAAAACUCACAUUAUAUAUUAUAUGGUAUUUAAAGGUAAGCAAACAAGAAUUUGGAACAAGAUUUUAAUGGAAUAAAAUGAGAAUAUGAAUUACUAGACGGGAUGAGAGGGGAACAUAAACUAAAAAUCAAACUAAAUACCAAAUUGGUAUGAGUUCGGAUUAUGAGCACUAUAUAAAAUAAAUUUGUUUACACACAUAACUCUGUACGUACGUUUUCAGUUACACAUAUUCUAUUUAUUACGAAUACAGGACCGUAAUAUUUUUAUUUCACGUAUACGAGACUGGUUAUGAGACCAAAAAUAUAUGACAGAUACAGGACGAGAUAGGUUUCCCGUUCCAAAAUAGUUACGCCUAACUAAUAUACAUGAAAUAACUCAAACUAAAACCGAAUCCAUUCAUAUUUAACACAUGUAAUCAAAAUGUUAGAAAUAUUUUAAUUAUAUAUAGUUUAGAAAAUAAAAUGGUAACAUCACUUAACUUUUGCAACUAAAUUAUAUCUUAAUUUUAUUUUAAAUAUAAUUUUGCAAGUACGUAUAUGUCUGGAUCUUAAAAUGUAACUAUGUACUAACGCAACUGAAUUUCGUUCAUUACUCUAAUUUUAUAAUAUCUAUACUAUUACAAAGGUCACUAACACAACAAAAUAUUUUCUAUUUUUAAAAUCUAUAUAACAAUUUCUAAAAAAAUAGCUUUGCACGUCCGUGUAGAUCAUGAUCUAAUACACUAAAAUAUAUAUCACAAAAAUAAAAAAGUAAUCUAUAUUAAAUUAAAAUUUGUUAAAAAAAUUUAAAAUAUGAAACUCCGCACGUACGUGCGGGUCAUGAUCUAGUAUAUAUAUUAUAUAUGGAGAAAGUACACUGCCAAAUCUGGAAAAACUCUUAAAAUGAUUUUAACUAAUGAGAAAGAAAGUUUCCAAUAAGUUAGGUUAACUGAAACUUAUUUUCUCAUUAUCUAAAAGACUAAGACCAUUUCCAUUGGUUUUUUUUAAGAAGUUCUUAGCAUUAAUUUUUAUAAAAAUUAAAUGAAUAAUUAUUUUAAAUCUUGAGAACCAGCUAUUAUAUAAUAGCCAAAUAACCAGUUCUUAUCGUUAAUUUUUAGUAUUUCUCUAUAUUCUUCUUUUUGAGAACCCGCAAAAUUCGACCCAAAUUCGAAACCGAAAAUUUAGAUUUACCCUAUUGAGUCCUAAACUCAUAUACCCGAAAACUCGAACUCGAAUGUAACUCUCCGAUUUCAGGAAUAUGGUGGUGCAUGCGGAGAGGUUUAUAAGAAUUUAUUUGGCCACCUAUGUCACCAAAGUGUACUUAUCUUUUCGGUCAACUUUCCUGAGAGAACUCCACAGUUAAGCGUGCUUGGGGUGGAGUAGUUUCAGGAUGGGUGACCUUCCAGGAAGUGAUUGUCGGAACUGUGUGAGUGAGGACAAAACACAGGGAAAGAUCAUAUGGUGAUUUGUAGGGUCGGUAAACAAGUCUUUAAAGCCUCCCGGACGUAGCGGACCGGCCGUCGGAC